GGGUGAGUAACACGUGGAUAACCUACCUAUAAGGCUGGGAUAACUUCGGGAAACCGGAGCUAAUACCGGAUAAUAUAUUGAACCGCAUGGUUCAAUAGUGAAAGACGGUUUUGCUGUCACUUAUAGAUGGAUCCGCGCCGCAUUAGCUAGUUGGUAAGGUAACGGCUUACCAAGGCAACGAUGCGUAGCCGACCUGAGAGGGUGAUCGGCCACACUGGAACUGAGACACGGUCCAG
rnacentral:rRNA from 1 species